UAAUGGGUUUUCAGGUCAACUGAAAGGGAUAUGGUGUACGUGUGUUUGUGUGUGUGCACGCCUGUGUGUAAGGUGUCACAGAUAGGGUCAUGUGGGUCAAAACGUGGAAUACUUACAGCUGUGCAAAGCAUUGGAUAAUAUUUCAUAUGCAAAGGAAGAGUGAAGGGACAAUACUUUUAUUCAUAAUCUAAGAAGUGAGGUCACGAGCAGGAAACCAGAGCCAGUGCAUGGAGAUCAAGAGGAAAACCCCAAAGCCACAAUGGGGCGUGAGCCCUGGGAGCCAAGAGGUUUAAAAACUCAGAGACAGAAAUGAGGCCUUAGAGUCAGGUUUGAUCUUGUGAACAAUGGGGAGUCAUUGAAGAUAUUAGAGAAUGACACUCAUAGCUAUGAUGGAGAGAGAUGGCACUGAGAGUGUACCCAGAGUAAAUGCAGAAAGAAGAGGCUGAGUCCCAGAGACAACUUGGCAUUUAUAGCCACAGACUAUGCUGGAGGAGGAUGAUAAUUUUUGAGAGAAAUGUUGAGUUCGUUAUGGAACAAACUAUACAAAACUCAAAUGUGAAUGAGCUGUCUCCCAAAAUCCUGAAUUCAAAGGAUUGCUAGAUAGAGAUGGAGGAGAAACCAGAUAGGAAAGAGAACAAAGGGUCAAGAGGGGAGAUAAUGUCAAAAGGCAACACUGGUUGACCUCCUCAGUAUUACGGAGAACAUGAUGCACAUUGAUGGGAGCCCAGAAGACAUCAUAUGGCCCGUGUGACACAAAUUAGAACAACCUUGAUAGCUGUCAGCUGGAGACUAUCUGAGAACAAAAGGACAUUAUUGCAAACCAGCACUGGAGGUAAUCUCUUGUGCUUUCUCUGAAGGCUUCUUAAUGGCCUUUGAGAAAUAACACAAUUCAGAUCUGCAACCAGGAGACAAAAGAGUGGAGGUUGGACAGCAUGGGAAACAUGUGACUUGGUCUUUAGAUCCUACUGUCCUGGGGUUAGGAGUAAUUAUCAUUAGAAAGCAGAGAUAUCUAUUUCCAUUUCACCAUGUAUGUAUUUAUUAAUUCAUCUAUUAGCAAACACUCAUUGGGGACCUACUAUGUGCCACUUACUGUGAAUGUGAUGGGAAUACACCAAUUAAUAAGACUUGAUCCUGCUAUGAUUUUCUAAUCUAAUGGGGGUGGGAUAUAGGGAGAUUGAUCAUAAAAACAUAAUUUCACUGAGAUAGGUAAAAUGUUAGAAGAAAGAAGACAAUAAGGAAGGUAAUUGGUUUUUCUAGUGAGGAAGAUGGACUUUAUAGAAAAGGUGAAAUAAUUUCUUCAAAGGGAAGGAAAGAGAGAGGGAGGGAAGGAAGGAAGACAGGAAGGAAGGAAAGAGGAAAAGUAGUAAAGGGCAUUCCAACACAGAGGAUGGCAUACACAAGGCACGGAGGUGUGUGGAAGAGUAUGACGUACUUGGGAAAUCACAAGUAGAUUUCUAAGGGCUUAAAGUUUACAGGGGCUGGAGUGGGAUAUGAAAUGACAGGGAAUGAGGCCAGAGUGUGAGGAGGCUCAAAUCCAAUGCCAUUAGGGUUUAGAUAUUAUCCCAUAGUCAGGGAGGCAUUGCUGGCAAAUUCUUCCAACCUGAGAGGUUUGGUCUUUUAGUUCUACAAACUGGUUUAAACCAGGUGAAGAAUAAAUAGGACCCUUUUAAAACAUCUCUCUAAAAGAAUACAAUGAAGGAAAUGUAAUAUAACACUUGGCAUGUACACAUACA